CCUACGGGGGGCAGCAGUGGGGAAUAUUGGACAAUGGGGGGAACCCUGAUCCAGCCAUGCCGCGUGUGUGAAGAAGGCCCUCGGGUUGUAAAGCACUUUCAGUGAGGAAGAACGCCUGGUGGUUAAUACCCAUCAGGAAAGACAUCACUCACAGAAGAAGCACCGGCUAACUCCGUGCCAGCAGCCGCGGUAAUACGGAGGGUGCGAGCGUUAAUCGGAAUUACUGGGCGUAAAGCGCGCGUAGGUGGCUUGAUAAGCCGGUUGUGAAAGCCCCGGGCUCAACCUGGGAACGGCAUCCGGAACUGUCAAGCUAGAGUGCAGGAGAGGAAGGUAGAAUUCCCGGUGUAGCGGUGAAAUGCGUAGAGAUUGGGAGGAAUACCAGUGGCGAAGGCGGCCUUCUGGACUGACACUGACACUGAGGUGCGAAAGCGUGGGUAGCAAACAGGAUUAGAUACCCCAGUAGUC
rnacentral:rRNA from 1 species